UUGGUCUCGCCCCCAAAACCCUAAAUCAUUUCCUACCCGCCUAGCCGCUCUUCUUUCCCCUUCUUCUCUAUUUUCUCUCAUCUGUCCUAAUGUCAUCAAUCAACAGAGGUUGCACAAAUUAGUGCAAGGUCGUGAAAUCAACCUCAAAUCAUCUUGUUUGUCUCACAUAUCCAGGAUUCCUGCUGAACCACUGCCUAUUUCAUCACCAAAAAUCAAAUCUCCCAAAAUCUGAAUCCUAAUCUCAGAGAUGAAACUUCAAAUCGUUACUGACCUUUCAAAUCCAUGGCAUGCAUGGUUGUUCCUUUUGUUCCUGCACUUUUAGUCCCAUCGUGCUUUCCAUUUUAGCCUUUCGAUUUCAAAACCCUAGUCGAAGAUAUCAGACCAAAAGGGUGAAACUUUAAACUCGCCUAAUUUCUUCUUUCGUUCUUUCAAAUCAAAGUGAGCAGGAGGUGUUAACUGGCUUAAUCAUCAAUAUUCGACACCCAGAGGUCAAAUGAAAUGACCUAUGGGUAUUAGGGUUCUGACCGAUGGUUUCUUGUGCUUCAACGUUUAAUGACUCACUCCACUUCAGUACUCAGGUAAAAUCAUUACUGGAUUCCCCCCUUGUCUUCUGAUUUUCACUCGAUUAGCUAUCAUCAUCUACCAUGCGUCACUCUCUACUACUAGUUUUGAAUUCUUGAAGCCCUAGAGCAUUGAAUGCCACUAUAAAAAGUGGUCUUUAAUGUUCUCACCAACACACAAUCUAACACCAACACACCAAAAUGACCUAACACUGAACACAUACAGUCCCAAACACUAAGAAAAUUAGGGUUUCUGAUAUUAGGUCUCUUACUUUUUUUCUCUCUUUUGCCGAGUUUCUUUUGCUAGUUCGAGUUUGAAAUCUCUGGGAUCUUUGAGCAACAAAGGAAUUAGUUUGGUCUGCUGCCCUUAAGAAGGUCAACAUCUUUCUUUCCCUCUUUCUUUCGUUCAUUUCUCUGAAUGAUUUAGAUAUGUCGAUGUAAGUUCUAUCGAUUAAUAUUAUGUUGUAUGUGUUUGACAUUUGAUAUUUAUGUUUUAUUAGUUUGACAACCUUUUAUGAUCAACUUGUUCUGUUAUGAUUCUCUAGAAUAAUAAUCGAUUAGGUAAAUGAUAAUUAUUGAUCUAUGUUCUGAGUUUUCUUACAGUCUCCAUGCCUAAUUUCUUAUAUGUUUAUUUCAAUGUAAACUUCAUAGCUCUCAGUGACUUACAAUGAACUCAUUCCUGUUUUAUUGCAGUUCUGUAAUUUUGUGAGUUUUAGAAGCUAAGUUUGCUACUUGAUAGUUAUUGCUAAAUUGAAACCUGAACUGGUUCAAGACUUGUAUCAAUGUUCCUUAACCUUAAGUUUGAACUUACAAUGUCUAAAUACUUUCUUGUCUAUGCUUGUGUUUGUCCAACUAUCUUACUGAGUUAUCACUCUUGUUUUCUACUUUGUCUUAGACAUCAUUAUUGUUGAACCAAUCAUGUUCAUCUGAACUUCAUGCCUUUCCCUUCACAGAUGAUUAUGCUGAGAUUUCAUCUUGUUGCCUUGUACCUUAUUUGCCUUAUGGUUGAGUUCAUUAUUUGGUAAUCUUAACAUGAUAUACAGUAUGUCCAUGUCAUUUAACUAAAUUGAAAGAAUCUGAGUGUCUAGAUAUUUUUCUUCUCUGUAUCUGUACCUGUUUACUCUGAGAGUGAUAUCUAAGUUAUUACUAUAACUUUUCUCAUGACCAUGCUCAACUAUUAUAUGCAUAGGAAACUAUCUUAUUUACACCAAACUGUUUUCUUCUCAUGAAUAUUUGCUGCAUAUAUAUUCUGUAAGGUUAAACUAUUCUUAGUGUAAGUCAUGAUUUUGUUUGGACAAAGUUAACUAGUAAUUGUUGCACAACUGAGCUUGCUUGUUCCAUAGUCAGUUCAGAUCUUUAUAUACAUGUGUAAUUCCAAAACUGGUACAAUACAUCCCUGUCCUUAAUCUCUUUAAGUCACUAUUGAGUUUAUGUGAAGUUUGUAUGCAUCUAUCAUUAACUUGACCUCUAUAAAAAUAGGAUUUAGACAUACUGCCAUAACCAAUUGAUAGUUUUGGGAACUGAAACAUGAUCACUUCAUAUCUAUAUGCUGAACUAGAUCCAUGUUUGAGUUUGAACUUAUGUUGAUACAAUGUCUUACAUAUCCUUUCUUUAUCAACAUGUUGGUAUGGCUCUGUAAUGUGUUAUGUAAUGUGCAAAGUUGCUCUACUUAUAUGAGAUCAUUGCUUCAUUCAUACUAGUGUCCCUCCUCUAACUCUACAACACCAUGUUCUACCUUGAGUUAUGCUUAGUCCCCCCCCCCCCCCAAUUAUUGUUAACCUGAAGCUGAACUUGGCUCUCAAACCUUAUUGAAGUUCAUUUGUUGAUAUUAUUUGAAUAUAUUGACUUAUUAAUAUUGUUAGAAGCAUGAUCCUAUUAAGACCUUAGGGAUCCCAUGUUUAAAUCUGUAAGUUUGUAAUCAUGAUGAAGGUUCAGUCCCACAACCUUGAUAAUAUCUCUGUAAUAAUUGCUGACUAUUAUUGUUGGUUUGAAUCUGCUUUGAUGUCUUUAAGGUACCAAGUAAUAUUAUCAUGUAACGACCCGGCCGGUCAUUUUUUAGAGUUGUAGCCUCAUCCCCAUUUAUUGCUCAUUUUGUAUUUUAUAGCUAUUACGUGACUUGCCAGAGUAGUCGGUCGGGUCCGGAUUAAAUUCAAAAUGAAAUGAGACACUUAGUCUUAAGAUUGAAAGCUUAAGUUGAAAUGAUUGAUCGGAUGUCAAUCUAUGAGUAAACGACUUCGGAAUAGAGAUUUAAUGGUUCCGUUAUCUCUGUUGGGUGAUUUUAGACUUAGGAGCGUGUCCGGAUUGUGAUUUGGAGGUCCGUAGUGGAAUUAGGGUUGGAGUGGUGAAAGUUGAAUUUUUGGGAAGUUUGACUGGGAGUGGACUUUUUACUAUCGGGGUCGGAUUCCGAUUCCGAAAGUUGGAGUAGGUCCGUAAUGUCAAAUGUGACUUGUGUGCAUAAUUUGGGGUCAAUCAAACGUGUUUUAAUAGGUUUCAGCAUCGUUUGUAGAAACUGAAUUUUCUUAGUUUUAAUAGGCUUGAAUCGAGCUGCGAUUCGUAUUUUUGAAGUUGUUUGAUGUGAUUUGAGGGCUCGACUAAGUUCGUAUGAGGUUUUAGGACUUGUUCGUAUGUUUGGUUGAGGUCCCGGGGGCCUUGGGUUGAUUUCGGAUGGUUAAUGGAUCAAAAGUUGAAGUUGAGUGAUUGUUGAAGAUGGACCUCUGCUACUGUAACCGCACAUGCAGAGCUUUGAUCGCAGGUGCGAGCUUGCAUAUACGGGCUAGCUUGCGCAGGUGCGAUGUUUGGAGGGGAGCAUGCAGGUGGUCGCAGGUGCGAGGACGUUUUCGCACCUGCGUUGCUGCAGGUUUGGCGAGAGGUGCACAAAAGCAGAAGGCGCGCAUGUGCGAUAGGGAGUUCCCCAUCUGCGUCACCGCAGAUGCGGUAGGAAGACCGCAGAAGAGGAAGUGGGCAGAUAAGCUGGGACCACAGAAGCGGCUUGGAUGCUUGCAAAAGUGAGUCCGCAAAAGCGGAGUGACGAACUGCAGGAGCGGUAUGGACCACAGAUAAGUAGGUGAUUUCGCUUUUGCAAUGCCGCAAAACCGGUUAAGUGUCCGCAGAAGCGGAAAGCCUGGGCAAAUUAUUAAAAACAAGGGUUCGCGAUUUUGGCUUCAUUUCAAACAUUUCAAGCAUAGUUUAGGCGAUUCUUAAGAGGGUUUUCAAGGGGAUUCUUGAGGUAAGUCCCUUGUGCUCAUUUUUGAUCAAUAAUCUUGCUUCCCCCGCUGAUUUUCCCACUUAGUUGGUGUGUAUUUAAGGUGUAAAUUGGCAGUUUGAGGCUAGGGAUUUGGAGAGUUUGAUUUGGGAAUUUGGGUGACGAUUUGGUGUCGGAUUUUGAUAAAUUUGGUAUGGUUAGACUCGUGGUAUAAUGGGCUUUUGGAUUUUGUAACUUUUAUCGAAUUUCGAGACGUGGGUCUAGGGGCCAACUUUUGAGUCGAUUUUUGAUUUUGAUUAAUAACUUAGCAUUCUCUUAUGUAAUUGAUUCCUUUAGCCUGUAUUGAUUAUAUCGCAUUGUUUAUGGCUAGAUUCAAGGCAUUUGGAGGCCAUUUUGCGAGGCAAGGGUGUGCUGAAUUAGAGAUUUACUUGGAUUGAGGUAAGUAACAGUUCUAAAUUUGGUUUCGAGGGUACGAAACCCCGUAUUACGUGUUAUGUAUUUGGUUUUGAGGUGACGCACAUGCUAGGUGACGGGCGUGUGGGCGUGCACCGUAGAAAUUGUGACUUGGUAAAAUUCUAUGGAACCAUGUAGUUGAAUAAUCUGUUGUUAUCUAUACAUUCUCCAUGUAGUAGAGAAAUUGAACCACAAACUAUGUUUAGACUAUGUGUUGGCACUGUAGGGACCCAUAGAGGUCAUGUACAUGUUGAAUUAUCUGCUAAAUUAUUGUUUUGUACUCAGUCACAGUAUUACUUAUUUAUUAUAUCUUAAUCUCUAUUGUUCCUUGUUGAUACAUUAUAUCAUUUCUGUUGGGGCUGACUUUCAUGAUUACUGAGAGCCCGAGAGACUGGAGAGAUUGAUGACUGAGUGAGGCCGAGGGCCUGAUUGUGAGAUAUUGAUACUAUAGCACAUGAGUUGUCCGUGCAACACGUGAGUUGUCCGUGUGGAUACAGAUAUUAUACUAUAGCACGUGAGUUGUCCGAGCGGAUUAUACCACUUGGGCUGAAGGAGCCCCUCUGGAGUGUGUACACACCCCUAGUGAGCGCAGGUACCUACUGAGUGCGAGUGCUGAGUGCUGAGUGAAUGGGAGGGUUGAGUGACUAUGGCCCUGAGAGGAUGCAUUUGCUUUCAUUAUUGCUGCACUUAGCUGCCAUGUAUCACUGCCUUGAAAUUUCUGAAAGAUAUUACACUCUGUUUCACUUAAACUUGUCAUGGAGUAAAUAUUUGAUCUAAUUUAUCGAACUUGAGAGCACGCCUACUUUCUUAUGUUGAAAUCACUGUAAUUGAACUAUAACUAUGAAGCUCGUCACUACUUUCAGUUCUUUAUUUGGUCUUGUUUCUUUCUGAGUUGGUUUGUAAUCACGCUACACUGCAGACCCAGGUGCUUCCGCUCAAGGCGGUUGCUGAGUUGUGGAGUUCGGAUCUCGGAGACUAUCGAGGUAGCUGUUUG
rnacentral:lncRNA from 1 species